rnacentral:rRNA from 2 species
ACGCUGGCGGCGUGCCUAAUACAUGCAAGUCGAACGAAACUUCUUUAUCACCGAGUGCUUGCACUCACCGAUAAAGAGUUGAGUGGCGAACGGGUGAGUAACACGUGGGCAACCUGCCCAAAAGAGGGGGAUAACACUUGGAAACAGGUGCUAAUACCGCAUAACCAUAGUUACCGCAUGGUAACUAUGUAAAAGGUGGCUAUGCUACCGCUUUUGGAUGGGCCCGCGGCGCAUUAGCUAGUUGGUGAGGUAAAGGCUUACCAAGGCAAUGAUGCGUAGCCGAACUGAGAGGUUGAUCGGCCACAUUGGGACUGAGACACGGCCCAAACUCCUACGGGAGGCAGCAGUAGGGAAUCUUCCACAAUGGGCGAAAGCCUGAUGGAGCAACGCCGCGUGGGUGAAGAAGGUCUUCGGAUCGUAAAACCCUGUUGUUAGAGAAGAAAGUGCGUGAGAGUAACUGUUCACGUUUCGACGGUAUCUAACCAGAAAGCCACGGCUAACUACGUGCCAGCAGCCGCGGUAAUACGUAGGUGGCAAGCGUUAUCCGGAUUUAUUGGGCGUAAAGGGAACGCAGGCGGUCUUUUAAGUCUGAUGUGAAAGCCUUCGGCUUAACCGGAGUAGUGCAUUGGAAACUGGGAGACUUGAGUGCAGAAGAGGAGAGUGGAACUCCAUGUGUAGCGGUGAAAUGCGUAGAUAUAUGGAAGAACACCAGUGGCGAAAGCGGCUCUCUGGUCUGUAACUGACGCUGAGGUUCGAAAGCGUGGGUAGCAAACAGGAUUAGAUACCCUGGUAGUCCACGCCGUAAACGAUGAAUGCUAAGUGUUGGAGGGUUUCCGCCCUUCAGUGCUGCAGCUAACGCAAUAAGCAUUCCGCCUGGGGAGUACGACCGCAAGGUUGAAACUCAAAGGAAUUGACGGGGGCCCGCACAAGCGGUGGAGCAUGUGGUUUAAUUCGAAGCAACGCGAAGAACCUUACCAGGUCUUGACAUCUUCUGACAAUCCUAGAGAUAGGACUUUCCCUUCGGGGACAGAAUGACAGGUGGUGCAUGGUUGUCGUCAGCUCGUGUCGUGAGAUGUUGGGUUAAGUCCCGCAACGAGCGCAACCCUUAUUGUUAGUUGCCAGCAUUAAGUUGGGCACUCUAGCAAGACUGCCGGUGACAAACCGGAGGAAGGUGGGGAUGACGUCAAAUCAUCAUGCCCCUUAUGACCUGGGCUACACACGUGCUACAAUGGACGGUACAACGAGUCGCAAGACCGCGAGGUUUAGCAAAUCUCUUAAAGCCGUUCUCAGUUCGGAUUGUAGGCUGCAACUCGCCUACAUGAAGUCGGAAUCGCUAGUAAUCGCGGAUCAGCUUGCCGCG